UAAACGACUCUCGGCAACGGAUAUCUCGGCUCACGCAUCGAUGAAGAACGUAGCAAAAUGCGAUACUUGGUGUGAAUUGCAGAAUCCCGUGAACCAUCGAGUUUUCGAACGCAAGUUGCGCCCGAAGCCAUCCGGCCGAGGGCACGUCUGCCUGGGCGUCACGC
rnacentral:rRNA from 1 species